rnacentral:rRNA from 1 species
UACGUAGGGUGCGAGCGUUAUUCGGAAUUACUGGGCGUAAAGAGUGCGUAGGCGGUUCUUUGUGUCCGCUGUGAAAGCCCCGGGCUUAACCUGGGAAUGGCAGUGGAAACUAGAGAACUUGAAUCUGGCAGAGGGGGGUGGAAUGCCACGUGUAGCAGUGAAAUGCGUAGAUAUGUGGCGGAACACCGAUGGCGAAGGCAGCCCCCUGGGCUGAGAUUGACGCUGAUGCACGAAAGCGUGGGGAGCAAACAGG